AAUGAUUGUUUGUUAAGUUUAUGGGUUUGAUAAUUGUGGACAGGGGCGGAGUCAAAAAUUUUUUAUUGAGGGGGCCGAACUAAUCAUAAUAUAUCAAUAAAAUUAUAACACAUUUACACAUAUAUAGUGUAUAAAAUAUAUAGAAAAUAAAAUAACACAAAAUAUCAAAUUAUAAGAAUUUUUAAUCAAUUCAACAAAAUUAUAAAAAAAU
rnacentral:misc_RNA from 1 species